AGCUAAUAGAUACCCGGGUAGUCCACGCCCUAAACGAUGUCUACUAGUUGUUGGUGGAGUAAAAUCCAUGAGUAAACGCAGCUAAACGCGUGAAGUAGACCGCCUGGGGAGUACGGUCGCAAGAUUAAAAACUCAAAGGAAUUGACGGGGGCCCGCACAAGCGGUGGAUUAUGUGGAUUAAAUUCGAUGCAACGCGAAAAACCUUACCUGGCCUUGACAUGCCACUAACGAAGCAGAGAUGCAUUAGGUGCCCGUAAGGGAAAGUGGACACAGGUGCUGCAUGGCUGUCGUCAGCUCGUGUCGUGAGAUGUUGGGUUAAGUCCCGCAACGAGCGCAACCCUUGCCAUUAAUUGCCAUCAUUUAGUUGGGCACUUUAAUGGGACUGCCGGUGACAAACCGGAGGAAGGUGGGGAUGACGUCAAGUCCUCAUGGCCCUUAUGGCCAGGGCUUCACACGUAAUACAAUGGUCGGUACAGAGAGUUGCCAACCCGCGAGGGGAGCUAAUCUCAGAAAGCCGAUCGUAGUCCGGAUUGUUCUCUGC
rnacentral:rRNA from 1 species